rnacentral:rRNA from 1 species
GUGGGGAAUAUUGCACAAUGGGCGCAAGCCUGAUGCAGCCAUGCCGCGUGUGUGAAGAAGGCCUUAGGGUUGUAAAGCACUUUCAGCGAGGAGGAAGGGUUCAGUGUUAAUAGCACUGAACAUUGACGUUACUCGCAGAAGAAGCACCGGCUAACUCCGUGCCAGCAGCCGCGGUAAUACGGAGGGUGCAAGCGUUAAUCGGAAUUACUGGGCGUAAAGCGCACGCAGGCGGUUUGUUAAGUCAGAUGUGAAAUCCCCGAGCUUAACUUGGGAACUGCAUUUGAAACUGGCAAGCUAGAGUCUUGUAGAGGGGGGUAGAAUUCCAGGUGUAGCGGUGAAAUGCGUAGAGAUCUGGAGGAAUACCGGUGGCGAAGGCGGCCCCCUGGACAAAGACUGACGCUCAGGUGCGAAAGCGUGGGGAGCAAACAGG